rnacentral:rRNA from 1 species
AGUGAACGCUGGCGGUAGGCCUAACACAUGCAAGUCGAACGGCAGCACAGUAAGAGCUUGCUCUUACGGGUGGCGAGUGGCGGACGGGUGAGGAAUACAUCGGAAUCUACUUUUUCGUGGGGGAUAACGUAGGGAAACUUACGCUAAUACCGCAUACGACCUACGGGUGAAAGCAGGGGAUCUUCGGACCUUGCGCGAUUGAAUGAGCUGAUGUCGGAUUAGCUAGUUGGCGGGGUAAAGGCCCACCAAGGCGACGAUCCGUAGCUGGUCUGAGAGGAUGAUCAGCCACACUGGAACUGAGACACGGUCCAGACUCCUACGGGAGGCAGCAGUGGGGAAUAUUGGACAAAGGGCGCAAGCCUGAUCCAGCCAUACCGCGUGGGUGAAGAAGGCCUUCGGGUUGUAAAGCCCUUUUGUUGAGAAAGAAAAGCAGCAGGUUAAUACCCCGCUGUUCUGACGGUACCCAAAGAAUAAGCACCGGCUAACUUCGUG